rnacentral:lncRNA from 1 species
CACGUCGCCCGCCCUAGUCUGCUUUUGUGAAUCUCCACUUUGUUCAACCCCCACCCGCCGUCUCUCCCUCCCUGCGCCUUCCCUCUAACCUUAAAGACCCAGCUACCUCUACGCAAAUGGUAGCUACCUCUGCGCAGGUGGAAGUUGAGUUCGGUUCACGCGGGACCCUCUUCCCUGUGGCAAGCUGCUGAAGGAGACCUGCUGUUACUGCUUUAGCUGCUGUUCUGCUUAAUCUCAGACAGCUGGAAGGUAGUAUUCCGCCCUCGCCCAGCCACCCGAGUAAAUGAGAAUGAUGACUGACUGAGACCCUGAUGGUGGUGGCUUAGGCUUAAUCUCAGACAGCUGGAAGGUAGUAUUCCGCCCUCACCCAGCCACCCGAGUAAAUGAGAAUGAUGACUGACUGAGACCCUGAUGGUGGUGGCUUAGGCAAGAUGAACGUCUGAAAUGGAGGCCCAGGGCUGCCACGAUGGCUCUGUAGUCAUCAGGGAGGGAGCUCCUUUUAUCUUGUUACCUACUCCCCUCUUGUGCCCCUUUCUUCCCUUGAUCUAAGAAGGUUGCUCCGGAUCUCGCCAUCUGGCCUGCGUUCAAUCAGCAGAAGCUUCCUGGAGGAGCAGGAGGAGGCACUGUGCUCGCAUCACAUACCAGUGGCCAGAAGUUGGCUUCAGGGAAGCUCAGGAAAUAGGAUGCGAGAAGCCAUGAGACCUCCCCAAACUCUGCAGUAACAGAGUCAACAAGACAAUGGCUUAAAGAUGGAGAGACCAGUUGAUCGGUCACACAAGCUGUUCCACGAUAAUUCUUGUGUCAGAAGGGGAGGCUGACUACCAGGACCACUGGCCCCACUUCCAGCCCCUCCAUUCUGAGUACACUUCAGAGGGCUCUGGCAGGGUGAGGGGGUCUUGGUGGUGCCACAGAGAGUAAAGGUCUAGCACACCCAUUGUGGAGAUAUUUCAUGGGGACAACCCAGUGACUUCACUUGAAGUAAAGUGGGAUUUUCCAACCUUGAGAUUCUUAUUUUCUUUGGUAUGCGUGUGGAAGAAGUAUGAAGCACGUGCCCAGCUUCCUUUCAAGUCUCUGGCCAAUGCAAUGUGAGCAGAAGUGAAGGGGCAACUUUCAGGUGAUGACUUGGAAAAGAAAGCUUAGUCCUCUGCUUCUCCUGUCACCCGAAAGAGAAACAGAGGCUUGUCUUGUUGAAGCCAGUGUGUUUGGUGUCUUUUUGUAUAGUGGCUUAGACAGUGGCCUAACUAGAAGACCAAGGCUCAAAGGAACACAUUUUGAGCUUCUCCACAGUUUGAGAACCUCUACAUUACCUACACCAAGCCUUCCCCAGCACUCAAUUUAUGGAAGACCAUUUCUCUUCUCAUGACACAUGUCCUCAUGUUGCUUUGGCCUGUUUUAAAGCUUUCUCAACUCCAUCUCAAUAAAGAAAUCUGCAGCUUUGUUGGAUGAGAGGAUCUAAAAAGUUCGUUCUUCCAAUCGGUUGUAAAUAUAGACACUAAUUUAUAAACUGACACAGGAACACACAGCAAAUUAGUAGAAAAUCCGAUUCCUGUUCCCUUUUCUCCUUGCAUUGUUUCCUGCCAAUGCUCAC